rnacentral:rRNA from 1 species
GACAAAAUAAAAACAAUCUGUCUACAGCCCGAUCUGUCCGAUCUCGGAAGCUAAGCAAGGUCUGGCCUUGUUAGUACUUGGAUGGGAGACCAUAUAGGAAAACCAGGUGCUAUAUGCG